rnacentral:rRNA from 1 species
CCAUCCACAUCCACACUAGAAUCACAACACACAACACCACACAGACCAACCACACACAAACACAAGAACACACGCAGAGCAACACCCCAUCACACAGGCCAAACAUCACGAAACGGCAUCCACAAACACACAGGUCUUCCAACACCCACGUUUGCACAGGAAAGAGCAGACAGCAUUCUGAUGCAGGAUGGCCCCACAGCACAUCAGCCAGUUGGUGAGGCAACGGAUCACCCAACCACAUGAUGCCAAGCCGACCUGAGAGGGUGAUCGGCCACAUUGGGACUGAGACACGGCCCACACUCCUAAGGGAGGCAGCAGUAGGGAAUCUUACGCAAUGGACGCAAGUCUGACGGAGCAACGACGCAUGAGUGAAGAAGGUUUUCGGAUAGUAAAACUCUGUUGUUAGAGAAGAACAAGUGCCAGAGUAACUGUUAGCGCCUUGACGGUAUCUAACCAGAAAGCCACGGCUAACUACGUGCCAGCAGCCGCGGUAAUACGUAGGUGGCAAGCGUUGUCCGGAUUUAUUGGGCGUAAAGCGAGCGCAGGCGGUUCCUUAAGUCUGAUGUGAAAGCCCCCGGCUCAACCGGGGAGGGUCAUUGGAAACUGGGGAACUUGAGUGCAGAAGAGGAGAGUGGAAUUCCAUGUGUAGCGGUGAAAUGCGUAGAUAUAUGGAGGAACACCAGUGGCGAAGGCGACUCUCUGGUCUGUAACUGACGCUGAGGCUCGAAAGCGUGGGUAGCAAACAGG